CACAACAGAUGUGCCCCAGCCCCAGCCCCAGCAAGACCAGCCCCUCCACCUAGACCAACCCCCUACCCCAAGACCAGCCCCUGCCCCUAGACCAGCUAAUCCCACAAGACCAGCCCCCAGACCAGCCUCUGCCCCUAGACCAGCCCCAGAAAGACCAGCUCCUGCCCCUAGACCAGCUAAUCCCACAAAACCAGCCCGUAGACCAGCCCCAGCAAGACCAGCCCCUGCCCCUAGACCAGCUAAUCCCACAAGACCAGCCUACCCCAACAGACCAGCAAAUUAUUAAACUUGAACUAUUUACGAUCGACUCACAGGCUCAGCAGCAUGUGGAGCCUCUACCACCCAGGAAAAGACAAACCCCACUAUCCACCCCGGGCCUACCAUCCACCCCAGGCCAAGGCAAACGAGCCCCACCAUCCAUCCAACCUCAACUAAAGAAAAGACAAAGUAAGUAAUCUUGCCUUGCACCCCAUCUGUAAAUUGGUCCCAUGGUUUUGUAAUCAUUGUAUUAAUAUAAAAUAAGUUAACCAAUGUGAAUUUCACCCCCUUCUAUUAAUUAAGCCACUUCCCCAAGAUACUGAAUAUAUAAUUCUUAAUCUUUUCCCCUUGCACCCUAAGCCACAGGUAAAGGAGCCACACAAGCCCCACCCUCUACCCUGGCCAAAAAGAAGAAAACAAAAAGCAAGUAGACAUUCUUUGCACCCCAUGUGUAUAUUUGUUUCUAUUCUUUGCACCCCAUGUGUAUAUCAGCAGCCAUGUGUUGGGUGUAAAUGUGUUUUUGCAUGUAGCCCCCUUUAAUUGGACCAAACUCAGGGUGUAUUCACACUUGGUCUUUUUCAGCCCUCAAAGUGAACUAAGAACAGUGACUCAUAUAUGAACACCUCAAGCAAACUCAGACCCAUUUGAAAUGAACCAAACGUUUUUUUGCCUUUGUCAUUUAAGGUUGCAAAUGCAGUCGACAGACAAUUUAUCCAUACGAUAAAAUAUUGGAAAGACGGAUGAAUGGGGUAAGAUGUAGAACCAUAUUUUUCAUUAGGCUGUCUGAUUAUCUCUUGACUCAUGUCUGUCUCAUCUUUCAAUCCACAUGUGACAAAACAGUAACACUGAGCAGUAGGUAUCAAACUUUUUCAACUAUCAACCCUCUCACAAGUGCUACCCCUUAGGAAAAAAAAGUAUACUUCAAGUUAUUUUAUGAAGUAUACUUAAGUAAUGUUCAAGUAUAUUUUUAAGUAUACUUUAUGGAGUAAGUAUACUAGUAUCAAUGUGUACUUGUAGUAGACUUGUAAGUGUACUAUUUCAAUACUGCUUGGGGCUAAAUUGGCCCACUUUUAGUAUAAAAGUAUAUGUUUAAGUGUACUAAAAGUGUAAACUUUAAGUACACAACUAGGUUUCUCAUUUUUAAUGCAUCUUUACUACAAGUGAACUUAUAAGUAUACUAGUAGUUUACUAUUUUAAUACAAGUAGUACAUUUUUUAGUUAGGAAAGUACACACUGAAGUGUACUCUCAGUAAACUGCUAGUUUAGAAGUUUAUACUGCAAGUAUACUACUAUGUUCAAAUGUUUUUUUUUGCUGUAUACUACUAGUUCAAAUGUAGAUAUUAUUUUUUAUACUUGAAAAAUACAUUUAACUGUACUUUAAUUUUAAUAACAUUUUAUUAGCUUCAUGCUUUCUUUUUUAUCAACACUUGUCGGUAAGUUUCAUAAAGGCAACAUUUUAAACAAAGAAGUUGAGAAAAUCACAUUUUUGUCAAAGACUGCGCCUUGAUCAGAUUCAGAACGGUGAUCAAAACACAGAUGGAGUAGAUCAAGUCCAACAACCCCAAAGCUUCACAGUCGUUUUCUCUUCAUGUGUUACGCUUCAUUUCAUUUGGUAAUAUUAAGCAUUUUUGAAUUACAAGCUGUUUAAUAUUUGAUGAUCACGUUAUUUUUACAUUUGCGUGAGUAAUCUACUAUCACUUGGUUCAGCUUCUUCUUCUUCUGUGUUUUGAGUUUCUGUACUAGGAGAUGUGUCAUAGCGCAUCCUACCGUAUAACAGUGAAAACAUGGAUAGCUGGAAAAUUCAGUCAAUGGUGGGGAAAGAGUAAAGUAGAAUUAAAGUAAAUUCCGAUGUACCGAUGCCAGUGGACUAGCCUAGACAAAUUUCAGAUAUGCAGAAUUAGAAACAUAGCUGUUUU
ensembl:lncRNA